CACGCAAAAGCAUUUAUUUAAAAAAACAAAUUGAGUAAAACUAGUAUGAAAAAAGAAAACUGCGAAAAAAACAGAUACUUAAGAUGAAAAAGUGAAUAGUAAGAAAAAUCUGUAAAAAAUGUAUAAUGAAGAAAUAGUUCUUUGUUUAUACUUCUUCUACAGAUUCAUAUAUUAUAACGAAGAUUCAUAAAAAAGGGAUAUGAUAUUAAAAAAAACAACAUUCAAGGCAUUAACUUUAGCUAUCAAAUCUUUUAUUUCGUCUGGAUUAGCAUCUCCUGCUGGAAUAACUUCAAUAUCAAGUGUUCUUGGUCUUUUUCUUCCUCCUGUUUUGUCAGAUUUUUUUCUUGUAUUUCGACGAAGUUGUGUUA